AGCUCCAAUAGCGUAUAUUAAAGUUGUUGCAGUUAAAAAGCUCGUAGUUGGAUUUCUGAUUGAUGACGGUCGUGUGGAGCCUCGUUGUUCCACGUGUCGUUCAUUAGUCAAAAUUUGUCACUAACUUCCAUGUGUCCUUCAAUGGACUCUGGUAGCAAAUGACUCGUUUACUUUGAGAAAAUUAGAGUGUUCAAAGCAGGCUUUAUGCCUUGAAUAUGUUAGCAUGGAAUAAUAACAUAGGACUUUGGUUCUAUUUGUUGGUUGUUCGAGAACUGGAGUAAUGAUUGAUAGGGACGGUUGGGGGCAUCCGUAUUCCCAAGCGAGAGGUGAAAUUCUUGGACCUUGGGAAGACGAACAGAUGCGAAAGCGUUUGCCAAGG
rnacentral:rRNA from 1 species